CCCAGCAAGAAUUUCCGCCUCCUCUUUUUUUCUCUUUUUUUUUUCGUUUCCAGCAAGAGGUUCCGCUCCUCUUUUUUUUUCUUUUUUUUUUGUUUCCAGCAAGAGGUUUCGCUCCCCUUUUUUUCUCUUUUUUUUUCGUUUCCAGCAAGAGGUUCCGCUCCCCUUUUUUUUCUUUUUUUUUUGUUUCCAGCAAGAGGUUCCGCUCCCCCCUCAUUUUUUUUUUCGGUUUCUUCUCUUCCUUCAAGCUCUGGUCUUUUGAGAACUCCCCCACUUCAAAAAUUCGAACCAGAUUAAAACUCCCCAAACCCUUUAAAUAUUUCAUCGAUUUCUUCCUUUCCUCUUCUGACUUGGAUCCGAGCAAAAAGGGGGAAAAAUUCGAGCUUAGGGUUUCGGUGAUUUGAGGCUUUCUUCUUCUUCAAACUCCAAGAACUUGGGUUUUUGAUGUCUCCACGUCGUCCUCGACUUCCUAGGGGUCGCUCCCGUUCACAGCCUAGCGAGGAAGAAGUUCCUACAGCGUCCUCCCCUCCAGCGGCUUCCUUUUUCGGGGUCGAGUUCCCCGCGGGUAGCCUUCCUCCUUAUGCUAAUACUGGUUGUAGCCGGGAGGUCUUCUCUUCAGCUUCCAUCAGGCAGGCCGUUAGGCAGAACUUGAGAAGAAUUAUAUAGAUAGGCUUUCUAGUUUAGAGUCUCAUGUUCUUAGCCGUCAGCUGCCUUCGGGCUAACGAGCUCUUUAUUGUAUGCUUUGACUUGAUCUAUUAAUAGAGACUCUGCAUUUGAUUCC